rnacentral:rRNA from 1 species
GAGACUCUGUGCGCGUGCAUAUCAAUAAGCGGAGGAAAAGAAACUAACAAGGAUUCCCUUAGUAACGGCGAGUGAAGCGGGAAGAGCUCAAAUUUGAAAUCUUCAAGGUUUUACCUUGACGAAUUGUAGUUUAAAGAAGUGUUUUCUGUUGAAGUUUUGGUAAAAGUUCUUUGGAAUAGGACAUCAUAGAGGGUGAGAAUCCCGUAUUUGACCAUUAUUUCCAGCUGUGUGAUACACUUUCAAAGAGUCGGAUUGUUUGGGAAUGCAGUUCAAAAUGGGUGGUAAAUUUCAUCUAAAGCUAAAUAUUGGCGAGAGACCGAUAGCGAACAAGUACCGUGAGGGAAAGAUGAAAAGAACUUUGAAAAGAGAGUUAAACAGUACGUGAAAUUGUCAAAAGGGAAGCGUUUGACACCAGGUGUUGUUUUCUCGAAAAUCAAUUAAAAAGAGUUGGAUUUUGUGUUGUAUUGACCUUAACAGCUUUCUUCACUCUUUUCCUGCUUUUUUUAAUGCACUUUUCGUUUAACAAGUCAACAUCAGUUUCUUUUGUUGUAAAAGGGUCAUUGGAAGGUGGCUUUCUUUUCGGAGAAAGUGUUUAUAGCCUUUGAUCUCUGCAAUCGGAGAGACUGAGGUCUGCAGCGUAGAUCCUUCGGGGUUAGAUACAUUUGUGCUAAGUUAUAACUUUCAUAGACAACUUGUUGACUAUGUUUAGUCAUGUAGCUUACUCGCUUAUGCUAUUUUACCUACGCUUAGGAUGUUGAAUCUGUGCGAGACUAC